rnacentral:lncRNA from 1 species
GAUACCAGCCUGGGCAACAUGGCAAAACCCCAUAUUUACCAAAAUAGAUAGAAAAAUUAUCUGGGCAUAGUGGCAUGGUUCAUUAUAAUUACUCUCAGCAAAAUAGAAAUAGAGGGGAACUUCCUCAACUUGAUGAAUAACAUGUUUUUAAGACCUACAGCUAAUAUCAUACUUAAUGGUGAGAAAUUAGAUACUCUUCUAAGAUUGAGGAAAAGGCAAGGUUGUUUCCUUUCUUCACUCUUGUCAACAUCAUAAUGAUAACCACCUGAAGCUAGCAUAAUUUUGCUGAUCCUUGGGUCCCAUCCUUUGUUAGGGACAUCUUGGUUAAGGGAUGAAAAGCAGUAGCUCUUCACGCACUCCAUCGCAUGUAUUUUAUGUCCAGUAACUCCCCUAGUCUUAUAGAGUGUACCUUGUUAAAUUUAGCGGGAUGACCAGGUAUUACUGUUAUUUGAGCCCCAGUAUUGAUAAAGGCCAUGAUGUUUUGCCAUUGGUACCUUUCAGCAGAUGUUAAGAUUAAUUCGCAACCUAUGUCAGUAAGGUAUAGAAGCCAAUGAGCAACCAUUUAUAUUUUAGUA